UUCGCGGCCUUAAGUAAGAUCUCUCCGAGGAUGGCCUUCCUUACACCUUCACGGAUUCUCUAUAGUCAUUUGGGCUCUUGCUCAAAUUUCGCCGCCUGUGUGACAGUUUCUCCAAAUCGUAGCGUAAUACAGCCCGGUCUGACCUUGCCUUUUAGGGCCCUUGAUCAAUUCCCUAAUUAUUUCCUUUCUCUCCAAUUAGAGAACCAAAGCAUUCUUCAAGUAACUCACGUGUCUGGUCUCCCCAACACUGCUUUUCAUCUUCUCCAUUUUAGGCACUGACUGAAACGAAUCAGAACACGUAGAAAGUGUCUGGAAAUUGAGGGAGAAGGCGUGCUAGAAAAAACAGAGGCUACAACUUGCGUGUCAGGGCCCAGAGUUCCACAGUGCUUUAUGCAGCCACAACCUGCGGGUCGUAUUCUGCCCCACCAGGGGGAUCAGAAAGUUCAGGCAGUUUAGUUAGAGAAACUGUGGCAGGUUAUGGGUCACUGUAAAGCACCCCCGUCCCCAGUUGCCACAAACUGCUCCAUGACCAAUGAUAAUAAAAUAGCCAGGUCUGGAAAACAGGGUGAAAACAGCUGGUGACAUCACAAAGGACGAACCAGUUCUAGGAAACAACCUUAAAAGCAAAAGAGGCACAAGACGGACUACUGGGGACAAGGGAGACUUCUUAGGACAACAGUGCAAACCAGUGCUAAAGCCAGACCACAUCCCAAAACAACACAGCAGACCUCAGCAAUGUAACCGGAAGCUGCUGGAAAGCAAAGCCAGGACUUUGCUACAAAUCUCCGUACUCUGCUCCCUCCUCUUCCCCAACCUCAGCCCCACAUCAUCAAACCAGCUAGGCCUACGUGCUGUCCUGUCCCGGUCCUACCAAAGUGUCUCUCACACCGCGCCGGCCAUCCACAGGGCCAGUGCGCCCAAGUCCGUGACACGGACUCCACGGUGUCUCCUGACCGGACGCAACGCCUCCCUCUUCUGUCCACGUGGAAGCCACCGAGGAAUCUGCCCUUUUAAAUUUUUCUUACGUUUGCUGAUUUUCGAGAGACAGAGCACAAGCAGGGGAGACGCAGAGAGAGAAGGAGACACCGAAUCCAAAGCAGGCUCCAGGCUCCGAGCUGUCGGCACAGAGCCCAACGAGGGGCUCGAACUCAGGAACCGCGAGGAUCGUGACCUGAGCUGCAGUCGGGAUGUUCAACCGACUGAGCCGCCCAGGUUCUGGAAGAAGCCAGAAUUUCUUUAUCGUAAACAUCUGAAGUAAAGGCCGUCCUGAAAGAGCUCCCGGUUGAGUUGUAUGCCGCUUCUCGGUCCGCGGACAGCCCAGCUGAAGCACCGAGUGGGAGAGAGAGAUGUGGGGGAACGUGACGCCCUUUGACAGGUUGGAACCCACAAAUCCGGGAAACUGCUUGGAGGCCAGGCACAGGCUCCGCACCUAAACUCAAGUGCUUUCUCUUUUCUUCCUCCAAAUUUGUUAGUGAACAUGUAGUGUAAUAUUGGCUUCGGGAGCAGAAUGUAAUGAUUCGUCACUUCCAUACAACGCCCAGUGCUCAUAUGUUCAUCCGUUUUGUUUCCUAAAUUCCACGUGUAAACUUUAGUACUUAAAACUGAGCGGGGAGCCGCCCUACCUGGGAGUGCUCCGAGGUCUGGAAAACAAAGUCCCAAACCUAGACCCUCCCA